rnacentral:snoRNA from 13 species
GGAUCGAUGAUGACACUCAUAAAUGCAUUCCUUGGAAAGCUGAACAAAAUGAGUGAAAAACCUAUACCGUCAUUCUCAUCGAACUGAGGUCC